rnacentral:rRNA from 1 species
AUUGAACGCUGGCGGCAGGCUUAACACAUGCAAGUCGAGCGGGGGAAGGUAGCUUGCUACCGGACCUAGCGGCGGACGGGUGAGUAAUGCUUAGGAAUCUGCCUAUUAGUGGGGGACAACAUUCCGAAAGGGAUGCUAAUACCGCAUACGUCCUACGGGAGAAAGCAGGGGAUCUUCGGACUUUGCGCUAAUAGAUGAGCCUAAGUCGGAUUAGCUAGUUGGUGGGGUAAAGGCCUACCAAGGCGACGAUCUGUAGCGGGUCUGAGAGGAUGAUCCGCCACACUGGGACUGAGACACGGCCCAGACUCCUACGGGAGGCAGCAGUGGGGAAUAUUGGACAAUGGGGGGAACCCCGAUCCAGCCAUGCCGCGUGUGUGAAGAAGGCCUUAUGGUUGUAAAGCACUUUAAGCGAGGAGGAGGCUACUUUAGUUAAUACCUAGAGGUAGUGGACGUUACUCGCAGAAUAAGCACCGGCUAACUCUGUGCCAGCCGCCGCUGUAA